GACUCCACCUUUUCUUCUUUCUAUUUCUAGCAGACUAGUGGAUAUUUUAAAAACCUUUGAAACGCGUCAUCUUCGUUUUCAAACUUCAAUUCCCUUUUCAUUUCCUCGUUGACCGACGACAGCCACCAACUCCACCACCACCACCACCACCAUCCGCUCUGCUCAGCUCUGAGAGUUUUCAUAAGUUUGCAGUUCGCAUGCUCGACGCUUUGUCCCAGUAAGCAGAACGUAAUUUCUCUUCUCUGUCUCUUUCUGCUCUUAUCCUUUUCAACUUUUAGGGCUUGUCUGUUUCCGGAAAAUUAUAGAGGGAGAAAAUUGUAAGUGGGAAACUGAAAAAGUUGGAUUUUUUUAGGGUUGUUUGUACUCUGUAUGCUCGUUUGAUCUCAAGUAUUUAUAAAGAAAAAAAUUGAAAAAUUGUUGUUUUGGAAGAGUUAAUUAAUAUAUUUUAUCUGGGAAUUGAAUAAUUAUUUGGGAAGAAUAAGUUGUUUAUUGAAAUUUCUGCCGUUACUUUUGUGAACUAAAGCAGAAGUUUUGGCUGGAGUUGAAGCUGGUUGAUGUAUGGGUAUCACUGUCUGAUGUGAUAUUUCUUUAAUUUCAAGUGUAGGGUUUGGUGUUAUCAAACUUGCGGAGGGUCUUUUGCAGUGGUAUAAGAUUUGAGUUGCAUUAUAUAAUUCCUUUUUAGUUACAGUGUUGUAAAAGAGGGAUUUAAAGAUAAAAUAUUUUGGAGUUCAGUGAUUAUAUUGAAGUUAUUGAGAUGGAUAAUAGGAAUCCAGAUCAUUUGGGUGUGAAUAAAUUUGGGAAGAAUAUCAAGAAGAGUCCUAUACACCAGCCCAAUUUCAACAACACAAAUAGUGCUAGGCCACAACCUCAACCUCAGGUUUACAAUAUUAACAAGAAUGAUUUUCGGAGCAUUGUUCAGCAACUGACAGGUUCACCUUCUCAAGAGCCUCCACCUAGACCUCCCCAGAAUCCUUCAAAGCCUCAGAGCAUGAGAUUACAAAAAAUUCGGCCACCACCUUUGACUCCAAUAAAUCGUCCCCAAAUCCCAAUCCACCCUCCUGCACAGGUCCCAGGCUUAGCUCAAUCUGCAGGAGGUGUUCCUUACCAUAACAAUGUUGUGAGACCGCCUCCUCAUUAUGGUCAGCCGUCACCCCCAAUGUUACCACCCACUCCUGGAGAUGUUUGGACAAAUACAGCUGAGUCUCCGAUUUCAGUUUAUAUGCGUUAUCUUCAGAAUUCAAUAAUAGAUUCUGGGCCUAGACAAGCACAAUUUCAAGGUCCUGGUCAUUUUCAAGCACAUCCACCAUCAUCUGGUUUACUACCUAAUCCUUCAAUGCCACCUCUUCUGAAUGGCCCACCUCCGCGGAUGAAUGGUCUUCCAUCUCCUAGGAUGAAUGGUCCUCCACCUCUUCCUUCCCCGGGAAUAAAUGGGCCUCCUCCUUUGCCUUCACCUACUUCUCAGUAUCUUUUGCCGUCACCCACUGGCUUCUUGAACUUGUUAUCUCCCCGGUCCCCUUAUCCAUUGCUUUCUCCGGGUAUGCAGCAUCCUCCACCACUGACACCAAAUUUCUCCUUCUCUCCCAUGGCUCAACCUGGGAUUCUAGGCCCGGGACCACAAUUUCCUCCUUCUCCUGGUUAUGGAUUUCCUUUGUCACCUUCUGGGUUCUUUCCCAUUUCAAGUCCAAGAUGGAGGGAUCAAUAGUUCUAGGAAGAGAGCUGCUGACUUGGAUGGCUCCUUCGAUCUGAUUCUUUGCUUUGAAUUUUGUCAUGAUGGCAGAUCUCCUCCAAAUUGAAGCUUUUUCCCUGUGGAUAUGCAGUGUGUACUAGCAAAAUGUAAAAUAGGUAGAACUACUAUGUUUAUACUCUUAGGAGAAAAGAUGAGACGGAGGGUUUGGAGGUGGAAAGGGUGACAGAUAACAGAUUCAAAGUAUUAUCAUGGUCAGCUGGCACUGGAACCUCAAAGCAUUGAGCUAGUUUUUGACAGUUCUACUUCUCCAGUCACCAGAUCCGAGUAGUAGCAAAUGCAGUUGUCUAGUUCCAUUUAGUAUUGGACAAUCUAUAUAAUCAUAUUAAAUGAACACUUUGGUUAUGGGAAAGCACUGGAUAUUCUUGUCCAAAGUCACUCUGGCAACGAUGCUUUUACAUGAGUCCAGCUUAUGAAACGGAAUGAUAUCCCCUUGUACACUAUGGGUCUGUAUGUCAAUUGUAGGUACCACAUGUGUAUAUGUUGGUGGGGUAUUCUAUCAGCAUUUUGGACUAGCUGAAGAAAAAUCUAGCACAUGGUUGUCAGUUAUUUCAAGUUACUUGGAAGCUCAUUUAUAAUACUGAAAAGCAAACAGGUGAUGGUUGAUGAUGCUUGAGGCAAAUAGAGUUUAGGAACAAUGUUAAGACCUAAAACAUUUCACAUUUGCAUAAGCUAUGCCAUGGAAAAGCUAUUCUGAGAGUGCAAAAUUUCAUCUCUAAAGGGUGAGAAUUUUCAUAAUGUAAACAUGACUCAGCUCAAUAUUGUUAUGAUCUUUCUGGAGCUUAUCUUUAUUUCUGCAAUAGAAUCU